rnacentral:rRNA from 1 species
AUUGAACGCUGGCGGCAUGCCUUACACAUGCAAGUCGAACGGUAACAGGUCUUCGGAUGCUGACGAGUGGCGAACGGGUGAGUAAUACAUCGGAACGUGCCCGAGGGUGGGGGAUAACGAGGCGAAAGCUUUGCUAAUACCGCAUACGAUCUCAGGAUGAAAGCAGGGGACCGCAAGGCCUUGCGCUCACGGAGCGGCCGAUGGCAGAUUAGGUAGUUGGUGGGAUAAAAGCUUACCAAGCCGACGAUCUGUAGCUGGUCUGAGAGGACGACCAGCCACACUGGAACUGAGACACGGCCCAGACUCCUACGGGAGGCAGCAGUGGGGAAUUUUGGACAAUGGGAGCAAGCCUGAUCCAGCCAUGCCGCGUGCAGGAUGAAGGCCUUCGGGUUGUAAACUGCUUUUGUACGGAACGAAAAGACUCUGGUUAAUACCUGGGGUCCAUGACGGUACCGUAAGAAUAAGCACCGGCUAACUACGUGCCAGCCGCCGCAGUAAAAC